AAUUAUUCCCCCACUUUAGGGUUUUGUAAUAAUUCCAUUUUCCUUUCUCUCUCUUCUGUUACUCAGUUAUUUUUGUUGUUUUAAUGGAAGAUCAGUACAACCCUAAUUUUCAUUAUCAUCAUCAACAACAACACCAACAAGUUCAUGAUUUUCAAAUAAGUAGCGGUGGGAGUAAGGAUACUGAUAUCAUGAAGGCCAAAAUCAUCUCCCACUCUCAAUUCUCUAAUCUCCUCCAAGCUUUCUUGGAUUGCAAAAAGGUGGGAGCUCCGCCGGAGGUGGCGGCGGAACUUGGGUCGGUAGGGGAGGAGUUUGAGGAGCGGCGGCGGUGUUCAAUGGCGGCGAGUGGGGGUUAUAGUGAUCCAGAACUUGAUCAGUUCAUGGAAGGUUACUAUAGGAUGUUGGUGAAGUAUAGAGAGGAGCUGACAAAGCCUAUUCAAGAAGCUGCUGAUUUCAUGCUGAGAAUUGAAUCUCAGCUCAAUACUCUCUGUAAUGGCUCCUUCCAAAUCUUAGCUUCUGAUGCAGCGACCGAAGAAAAUCGCGACGGAAUGGGAUCAUCGGAGGAGGAGCAAGAGAAGGGGGGCGGGGAAGCCGAAAGAGAUGCAACGGAACAGAUUGACCCACGAGCAGACGAGCGAGAGCUAAAGAAUCACUUACUAAAGAAGUACAGUGGGUAUCUGAGCACUCUAAAGCAAGAGCUUUCAAAGAAGAAGAAGAAAGGAAAGCUCCCAAAAGACGCAAGGCAGGAGCUGCUCAGAUGGUGGGAAGUGCACAGCAAAUGGCCAUACCCAUCGGAGGCAGAGAAGUUGGCGCUAGCGGAAUCAACUGGGUUGGAUCAGAAACAGAUAAAUAAUUGGUUCAUAAACCAGAGGAAAAGGCAUUGGAAGCCGUCUGAGGAUGUACAGUUGAUGGGUAUGGAGGGGUUUUACCAUCCCAACACUGCUGCUGCUUUUUACUUCGAUGGGCGUUACAUGGGCGAUGCCCAUUACCGUUUGGGUCCAUGACAGGAAUUCAGCUCACUUUGCUUCGAAGUCAGAGCUUGGUUUCAGCUGCUUAUCCCAUAUGAUCUACAAGUUUGAUCAAGAAAGUAUUUUGAUUUGAGCAGUGGAACACCCAAGACAGAGUCCAUAAAAUGGUGUCAGUAGUGAUGUUAGCAAGGCAGCAACGACGUGAGCGACCGUAUUGUCUAACGGUUAUGGUCAACAAUCAGAUUUUGAUACGAUAGAAAUUUGAGUUGAUUUUAUAUUUGAAAAGGUUAUCGUACUUUUUACUUGAAAUUGAAUUGAAAACAUGGCAUAGAAACAUAUUAUCAAGAUUUGAG